UACCGAGGGGGCUAGCGUUGUUCGGAAUUACUGGGCGUAAAGCGCACGUAGGCGGCUUUGUAAGUUAGAGGUGAAAGCCCGGGGCUCAACUCCGGAAUUGCCUUUAAGACUGCAUCGCUAGAAUUGUGGAGAGGUAAGUGGAAUUCCGAGUGUAGAGGUGAAAUUCGUAGAUAUUCGGAAGAACACCAGUGGCGAAGGCGACUUACUGGACACAUAUUGACGCUGAGGUGCGAAAGCGUGGGGAGCAAACAGG
rnacentral:rRNA from 1 species